rnacentral:rRNA from 1 species
CGUUGCUUUCUUCCGCCGGCGACCGGCGCACGGGUAAGGUAACACGUAUGCAACCUGCCCCUCGUCAGGGGGACAACCCGCCGAAAGGCGGGCUAAACCCGCGUACAUGCCACCGGGGCAUCCCGGAGGCAGGAAAGGCUUCGGCCGGACAGGGAUGGGCAUGCGGCGCAUUAGGCAGUAGGCGGGGUAACGGCCCACCUAACCGACGAUGCGUAGGGGUUCUGAGAGGAAGGUCCCCCACACUGGUACUGAGACACGGACCAGACUCCUACGGGAGGCAGCAG